rnacentral:rRNA from 1 species
UGAAUAUGGGGGGACCAUCCUCCAAGGCUAAAUACUCCUGACUGACCGAUAGUGAACCAGUACCGUGAGGGAAAGGCGAAAAGAACCCCGGCGAGGGGAGUGAAAAAGAACCUGAAACCGUGUACGUACAAGCAGUGGGAGCCUACUUGUUAGGUGACUGCGUACCUUUUGUAUAAUGGGUCAGCGACUUAUAUUCUGUAGCAAGGUUAACCGUAUAGGGGAGCCGAAGGGAAACCGAGUCUUAACUGGGCGUUAAGUUGCAGGGUAUAGACCCGAAACCCGGUGAUCUAGCCAUGGGCAGGUUGAAGGUUGGGUAACACUAACUGGAGGACCGAACCGACUAAUGUUGAAAAAUUAGCGGAUGACCUGUGGCUGGGGGUGAAAGGCCAAUCAAACCGGGAGAUAGCUGGUUCUCCCCGAAAGCUAUUUAGGUAGCGCCUCGUGAACUCAUCUUCGGGGGUAGAGCACUGUUUCGGCUAGGGGGCCAUCCCGGCUUACCAACCCGAUGCAAACUACGAAUACCGAAGAAUGUUAUCACGGGAGACACACGGCGGGUGCUAACGUCCGUCGUGAAGAGGGAAACAACCCAGACCGCCAGCUAAGGUCCCAAAGUCAUGGUUAAGUGGGAAACGAUGUGGGAAGGCACAGACAGCCAGGAUGUUGGCUUAGAAGCAGCCAUCAUUUAAAGAAAGCGUAAUAGCUCACUGGUCGAGUCGGCCUGCGCGGAAGAUGUAACGGGGCUAAACCAUG